rnacentral:rRNA from 1 species
UAGAAGUUACUUCGGUACAUCGGUGACAGGUGGUGCAUGGUUGUCGUCAGCUCGUGUCGUGAGAUGUUGGGUUAAGUCCCGCAACGAGCGCAACCCCUAUUGUUAGUUGCCAUCAUUCAGUUUGGGCACUCUAGCGAGACUGCCGGUAAUAAACCGGAGGAAGUGGGGAUGACGUCAAAUCAUCAUGCCCCUUAUGACCUGGGCUACACACGUGCUACAAUGGUUGGUACAACGAGUUGCGAGUCGGUGACGGCGAGCUAAUCUCUUAAAGCCAAUCUCAGUUCGGAUUGUAGGCUGCAACUCGCCUACAUGAAGUCGGAAUCGCUAGUAAUCGCGGAUCAGCACGCCGCGGUGAAUACGUUCCCGGGCCUU